rnacentral:rRNA from 1 species
CCCUUAGAUGUUCUGGGCAGCACGCGCGCUACAAUGGUCUUCGCAAACGGAUGCAUUCUCGAAGGAGAAUGCCAAUCUUGGAAUCUAUGCCUUGGUCGGGACAGUUGCUUGCAAUUUUUCGACUCGAACCAGGAAUUCCUUGUAAUCGUGAUUCAUCACAUCACGAUGAAUACGUCCCUGCCCUUUGUACACACCGCCCGUCGCUCCUACCGAUCGAAGAGUUAGGUGAAUUGUUUUGAUCGAUAAGAUUUGACUAUGGUCAACUCUCGUUGUGAAAUUCUGUGAACCUUACCGUUUAGAGGAAGGUGAAGUCGUAACA